UACGGAGGAUCCAAGCGUUAUCCGGAUUUAUUGGGUUUAAAGGGUGCGUAGGUGGCUUUUUAAGUCAGGGGUGAAAGACGGUAGCUUAACUAUCGCAGUGCCUUUGAUACUGAAGAGCUUGAAUGAACUAGAGGUAGGCAGAAUGUGACAAGUAGCGGUGAAAUGCAUAGAUAUGUCACAGAACACCAAUUGCGAAGGCAGCUUACUAUGGUUUUAUUGACACUGAGGCACGAAAGCGUGGGGAUCAAACAGG
rnacentral:rRNA from 1 species